rnacentral:rRNA from 1 species
CCUACGGGAGGCAGCAGUGGGGGAUAUUGCACAAUGGGGGAAACCCUGAUGCAGCGACGCCGCGUGAGUGAAGAAGUAUUUCGGUAUGUAAAGCUCUAUCAGCAGGGAAGAAAAUGACAGUACCUGACUAAGAAGCACCGGCUAACUACGUGCCAGCAGCCGCGGUAAUACGUAGGGGGCAAGCGUUAUCCGGAUUUACUGGGUGUAAAGGGAGCGUAGACGGUUAAGUAAGUCUGGAGUGAAAGCCCGGGGCUCAACCCCGGGACUGCUUUGGAAACUGUGUAACUGGAGUACAGGAGAGGCAGGCGGAAUUACUGGUGUAGCGGUGAAAUGCGUAGAUAUCAGGAGGAACACCGGUGGCGAAGGCGGCCUGCUGGACUGCAACUGACGUUGAGGCCCGAAAGCGUGGGGAGCAAACAGGAUUAGAUACCCCGGUAGUC